GGCUCCUUGACCUUUAUAUAUGGGGAGUUUUACCUGCCCAGUGAUUUUAACAAUUAAACGGCCGCAGUACCCUGACUGUGCAAAGGUAGCAUAAUAAUUUGCCUUAUAAUUGAUGGCUAGUAUGAAAGGUUUGACGAGAGCACGCCUGUCUCUUAUAUAUUAUCUAAAAUUUAUUCUUUAAGUUAAAAAGCUUAAAUAGAAUUAAAGGACGAGAAGACCCUAUCGAGCUUUAAAAAAAUAGUUAGGGGUAUAGUAAAUUGUUAACUUUCUAACUAAUAUUUUAGUUGGGGCGACUGGGGAAUAAAGAAAGCUUCCUUAUAAAAACAAAAUAAACAAGAUCCAAUACAUAUUGAUAGUGGAAUUAGUUACCGUAGGGAUAACAGCGUUAUUUUUUCGGAGAGUACGCAUCAAAGAAAAAGCUUGCGACCUCGAUGUUGGAUUGAGAUAACUCAAAGGCGUAGGGGCUUUUAUAAGUUAGUCUGUUCGACUAUAAAAAUCUCACAU
rnacentral:rRNA from 1 species